rnacentral:rRNA from 1 species
AGAGUUUGAUCAUGGCUCAGAACGAACGCUGGCGGCGUGCCUAACACAUGCAAGUCGAACGAGAAUCACUCUUCGGAGUGAGGAAAGUGGCGCACGGGUGAGUAACGCGUGGGUAAUCUGCCCUUUGGUUGGGGAUAACGGUUGGAAACGACCGCUAAUACCCCAUAUGCCUACUGGUGAAAUGAAUUUCGCCUGAGGAUGAGCUCGCGUCUGAUUAGCUAGUUGGUGAGGUAAUGGCUCACCAAGGCUUCGAUCAGUAGCUGGUCUGAGAGGAUGAUCAGCCACACUGGGACUGAGACACGGCCCAGACUCCUACGGGAGGCAGCAGUGGGGAAUUUUCCGCAAUGGGCGAAAGCCUGACGGAGCAACGCCGCGUGAGGGACGAAGGCCUCUGGGCUGUAAACCUCUUUUCUCAAGGAAGAAGAUAUGACGGUACUUGAGGAAUAAGCCACGGCUAAUUCCGUGCCAGCAGCCGCGGUAAUACGGGAGUGGCAAGCGUUAUCCGGAAUUAUUGGGCGUAAAGCGUUCGCAGGCGGCUUUUCAAGUCUGCUGUUAAAGCGUGGAGCUUAACUCCAUCAUGGCAGUGGAAACUGAAAGGCUUGAGUAUGGUAGGGGCAGAGGGAAUUCCCGGUGUAGCGGUGAAAUGCGUAGAUAUCGGGAAGAACACCAGUGGCGAAGGCGCUCUGCUGGGCCAUUACUGACGCUCAUGGACGAAAGCCAGGGGAGCGAAAGGGAUUAGAUACCCCUGUAGUCCUGGCCGUAAACGAUGAACACUAGGUGUCGGGGGAAUCGACCCCUUCGGUGUCGUAGCUAACGCGUUAAGUGUUCCGCCUGGGGAGUACGCACGCAAGUGUGAAACUCAAAGGAAUUGACGGGGGCCCGCACAAGCGGUGGAGUAUGUGGUUUAAUUCGAUGCAACGCGAAGAACCUUACCAGGGUUUGACAUCCUGCGAACCUCUUAGAAAUUUGAGGGUGCCUUCGGGAAUGCAGUGACAGGUGGUGCAUGGCUGUCGUCAGCUCGUGUCGUGAGAUGUUGGGUUAAGUCCCGCAACGAGCGCAACCCACGUUUUUAGUUGCCAGCAUUUAGUUGGGCACUCUAGAAAGACCGCCGGUGAUAAACCGGAGGAAGGUGUGGAUGACGUCAAGUCAUCAUGCCCCUUACACCCUGGGCUACACACGUACUACAAUGCUACGGACAAAGGGCAGCAAACUCGCGAGAGCUAGCAAAUCCCAUAAACCGUGGCUCAGUUCAGAUCGUAGGCUGCAACUCGCCUACGUGAAGUAGGAAUCGCUAGUAAUCGCAGGUCAGCAUACUGCGGUGAAUACGUUCCCGGGCCUUGUACACACCGCCCGUCACACCAUGGAAGUUGGCCAUGCCCGAAGUCGUUACUCCAACCCUUGUGGAGGAGGACGCCGAAGGUGGGGCUAAUGACUGGGGUGAAGUCAUAACAAGGUAGCCGUA